rnacentral:snRNA from 1 species
AUACUUACCUGGUGUCGGGGUGUCUGCGAUCAAGGAGGCAGAGCCCCCAGGGCGAGGCGCGGCCAUUGCACUUCGGCCGUGUUGACCCCUGCCACUUUCUCAAACUGAGAUAGAUGGGGCAUGCAAUUUUUGGUAGUGGGGGAGCGGCGUACGCGCUAUCCCCCU